rnacentral:pre_miRNA from 1 species
AUACUACUCCCUCCGAUCCAUAUUACUUGUUGCUCAAACGGACGUAUCUAAACGUAUUUCACUGCUAGAUACAUCCGUUUGUGUGACGAGUAAUAUGGAUCGGAGGGAGUAGCAU